UCUAGUGUUUGGACAUGUUGGAGGCUUACUGUCCCUAGAAGAUGCCCUUUUUGCUACCAAUUCUUAGAGAGAGCAAAGGACACACUCCUCCUGACUGUCACCUAGACCACUGUACACCCCUCCUCGUCACCCUGAACCAGGUAAGCAGCCCAGACCAGCCCACUGCUGCCAUGCUGACCUGAGCCCCAAGCUCCAUACCCACCAGGUCAGUGACCUCAGACCAUCUCACAUCUGACUUCUCAGCUGUGGCCUUCUGGGAACACUGGGCUGAAUGAGCAUCAGUGUGGAAGUCAUGAAACAACAUCAGCCUCUUUAGAAACCAGCUCAGGAAGUUUUGUGUUCAUGUUAGAACCUCCAUCACCCUGACUCUGUUCCCCAAACUCUGAUCUGUUUUCUGGUCAUGUGUUAAUUGAGCCUUUUUCCAUAAACCCUAAAUCUAAAUCCCAAAGGAAUCAACCUGAAAAUCCUGUAAUGGGC
rnacentral:lncRNA from 1 species